rnacentral:rRNA from 1 species
AUUGAACGCUGGCGGCAGGCCUAACACAUGCAAGUCGAGCGGAUGAGGGUAGCUUGCUACCUGAUUCAGCGGCGGACGGGUGAGUAAUGCCUAGGAAUCUGCCCGAUAGUGGGGGACAACGUUUCGAAAGGAACGCUAAUACCGCAUACGUCCUACGGGAGAAAGUGGGGGAUCUUCGGACCUCACGCUAUCGGAUGAGCCUAGGUCGGAUUAGCUAGUUGGUGAGGUAAUGGCUCACCAAGGCUACGAUCCGUAACUGGUCUGAGAGGAUGAUCAGUCACUGGAACUGAGACACGGUCCAGACUCCUACGGGAGGCAGCAGUGGGGAAUAUUGGACAAUGGGCGAAAGCCUGAUCCAGCCAUGCCGCGUGUGUGAAGAAGGUCUUCGGAUUGUAAAGCACUUUAAGUUGGGAGGAAGGGCUGUAGGCUAAUAUCCUGCAGUUUUGACGUUACCAACAGAAUAAGCACCGGCUAACUUCGUGCCAGCCGCCGCGGUAA